UUAUAUUUAUCCAUCCUUCCCAACACCUUCCUCAGACCCCUGACAGAAAUAAGAGAUUUUUUCUUGUUUCCCCUCGUCUCUAAUCUCUUUUCAACAGUUUGUUGUUUGUUUUUCUAGAGGAAGCCUUCUAUGUAAGGUCCAGUCUGGGUGGGGAAGUGCUUGGGAGAAGCUGCAGCGUGGAUGGGCCGUGCCCUUGGAGAAGGCUGAGGACAUCGUUUGGGACCAGCUUUUCUCCCAGCAGAGGAUGGCGUGAGCCGGGCUCUGCGGGUGCUGAGGCUGCUCUGGGCUCUGCCAGGGCUCUGCUGGGCUCUGCCCUGGGCACAGCUGGGCUGGCUCUGCCCUCACAUUGCUCUGACAGCUUUGCAUCAGACGAGCCCGUUGGAGCACAGUGCCUGAGCUUUCUGCUUUGGCAGGAACGCCUGGAUCUCCACUAUUCAUUCUUCAUUUCUUUUUGGCUGGAAUUGUGCAGUUGCACUUUCUUCCUCCUCUAGAAGUGCCACGAGUGGGCCAAACCUGGCAAGUGAGCCGUGUUCCUGAGGCAGUGCAGUCUGGAGCUGAUGGAUGGAGAAUUGCCCUUCCCACUUCCAAACCAGAGCAAAAAGCCAGGUCCUGGCCCUCUUCCAGCCAAAGAGGAAAGGGCCCCACCAAGCCUUGUUACCCACAGACAACAUGGUAAAGCUGAACACUAAAGGACCUUGGGGGCAUUAAUCUGGAAUUAAAAAGUUGCCAGCUCCAUGGACAACAGAAUUAUUGUUCCUAACUUGAAUGAGAUUGAGCAAAAAGAAUGAAGAACGGUGUCACUAAAGUACUACUGACGUUUGCCAAAACACCUCCAGAGUUUCACCAAGGGAUCAGUCAUCAAAAAUGUUUUUAAAAUUUAAAGACCGCGGAAGCCAAAGCACACAGUGUCACUAAUUGCUGGGUAUGUUCUCAGCUGAAGUUGGGAGGAAUGGGGUUCCCUUGGAGGGCCCACCCUGUGGGGUGGCCAGAACUCUGUCAAUGGGCUCUGCCUCGUAACGGAGUCAAUGAAGGGACAGUUACAGAAACCUGUGCUGUGGGACACGGGAAUACAACGAUCAGUGUGACAGGAUUCACUCAGAUUUCCCGUCAGGAGAAACCAAACCCUGUUACAGUUAUAGAGGCUACAGUGUCAGAAGAUUUCUGUGCUUUACCAUCACUCUCAAUGUCAGAAGAACUUGGGGUGCUGCAGCUGGUCAGUGUCAGUGUUGCACCACUCCCAGCUGCAGGGCCCCCAUUUUGAUUAAACAAAAUACCCUGCA